ACUUUAAACAAUGCCACUUUAUAUGUUUACAUACCCUACAUUACUCAUCUCAUAUGUAUAUACUGGACUCUAUACCAUCUAUUGCAUCUUGAUGUAAUAAAUGUAUCACUAGCCACUUUAAACAACGCCACUUUAUAUAAUGUUUACAUAACCUACAUUACUCAUCUCAUAUAUAUACCGUAGUCUAUACCAUCUACGGCAUCUUGCCUAUGCCGUUCGGCCAUCACUCAUAACAUAUAUUUUUAAGUACAUAUUCUUAUUCAUUCCUUUACACUUGUGUGUGGUAGUAGUUGUGAAAUUGUUAGGUUAGAUUACUUGCUAGAUAUUACUGCCUGGUCGGGACUAGAAGCACAAGCAUUUCGCAUACACUCACAUUAACAUCUGCUAACCAUGUGUAUGUGACAAAUACAAUUUGAUUUGAAAUGCAAUCAUAAUUGACUGUAGCGCAUGUAAGGCACACACAACAGUUCCAUGAUGACUGAAAACACAACCGUGGGAUGAACGAGUGACAUUUCCGGGCAAGAGCGGUCCAUUUAAAAUUAAUUGAUUCUUCCCUCGCCCUGCAAGUGUCAACUCGUCAGACAGACGGAUGACGGCAUGAUACGUCAUCAAAAGUGUCCACUUAAUUUGCAGCAAUAUUCAUUUAAUAGGAUCUCCAUGGUUUAAAGGUCAAAUGCAGACGUUUGCAAAUCAAUGCAAAUCAUUUCUGGGAAACAAUGAAGUACCUUACUGUGAUUGUUUUCAAUUAAAAUGUUUGAAAAGAAAAAAUAUUUUUUAGCAAAGAGCAAUUUCUCAUGCAAUAAUUUUGCUGGGACUGGAGUGGUCUGAGUGGGGAGGAGAAACUGAAAACGCUGUUAUUGGCAGAGAGGUUUGGAACUCUGUCUUAUUGGUCUAUAGAGGGCUUGCAGUUAACAUAAAAAGCGUCCUGGCGGCCACCUUGGAAACCACCGCAUUACUUCUUCAGACAACAAUAACUGACUGGCCACCCCAAACUGCAUGAUGACAUCAAAUGGAGUAGUACUUGGCUUCUCUAGCAAGACAGGAAAGACAACAGGAAAAAAAUAUGUUUACAGAUUCCCCGCAAUCAUGAAACGCCAUUGGUGACACCAAGGUUCACCAGCUGACCUCUCAAGACACCCAUGUCAAUUGGAUUACCACUGAAGAUGAGCAAUGCUGCAGCAGCAUCAGUUUCUACUUCACCAUUUUCCAGAUAUGAAAGGAGACAUCCCUCAAUUAUACAAUAUGAUUGUUAUAUGCUGUGCUUUGAUCAAUCUAAACGCUUCUGUUGUGCCAUUUGAGUAGAGCACCUUCACCUUGUCGUCAUAGAAAAAGUGCCCUCUUACACCAUAUUAAUAUAUGAAAUGUAAUUUGGAAGGUGUAAAACUUGUUUACGAUAUUGUAAAUGUAUUGUACUUUAAUAACAGGCUACAGUGUUGUAUGGGUGAAAUAAAGUAUUGUCAUCUCUGCGUUGCCUAGCCCCAUUGAAUAAAACAUAUUCUUAUACCCCAACUAUUUUCUUUCUUUACAAUUUGACUAUGUAUGCUAUGUGUUUAAUGUAAUUGUGGUAGUCUUUAGGCAAACCAUCUUCAUUAGCACCUCCAAAUGCCACUCAGACCUUCUUGGAUAAAAGUAUCUGGCAAUGAACACAUUUACAUAAAGUAUUCAGACUGAUGCACCUUUGGCAGCGAUUACAGCCUUGUUUUUUGUGGUCAGACUCCAAA